rnacentral:rRNA from 1 species
UACGAAGGGGGCUAGCGUUGCUCGGAAUCACUGGGCGUAAAGGGUGCGUAGGCGGGUCUUUAAGUCAGGGGGGAAAUCCUGGAGCUCAACUCCAGAACUGCCUUUGAUACUGAAGAUCUUGAGUUCGGGAGAGGUGAGUGGAACUGCGAGUGUAGAGGUGAAAUUCGUAGAUAUUCGCAAGAACACCAGUGGCGAAGGCGGCUCACUGGCCCGAUACUGACGCUGAGGCACGAAAGCUAGGGGAGCAAAUGGG